UGGUUUGUCGCGUUGUUCGUGAAAUCUCACGGCUUAACUGUGAGCGUGCGGGCGAUACGGGCAGACUUGAGUACUGCAGGGGAGACUGGAAUUCCUGGUGUAGCGGUGGAAUGCGCAGAUAUCAGGAGGAACACCGGUGGCGAAGGCGGGUCUCUGGGCAGUAACUGACGCUGAGGAGCGAAAGCGUGGGGAGCGAACAGGAUUAGAUACCCUGGUAGUCCACGCCGUAAACGGUGGGUACUAGGUGUGGGUUUCCUUCCUUGGGAUCCGUGCCGUAGCUAACGCAUUAAGUACCCCGCCUGGGGAGUACGGCCGCAAGGCUAAAACUCAAAGAAAUUGACGGGGGCCCGCACAAGCGGCGGAGCAUGUGGAUUAAUUCGAUGCAACGCGAAGAACCUUACCUGGGUUUGACAUGCACAGGACGCCGGCAGAGAUGUCGGUUCCCUUGUGGCCUGUGUGCAGGUGGUGCAUGGCUGUCGUCAGCUCGUGUCGUGAGAUGUUGGGUUAAGUCCCGCAACGAGCGCAACCCUUGUCUCAUGUUGCCAGCGGGUAAUGCCGGGGACUCGUGAGAGACUGCCGGGGUCAACUCGGAGGAAGGUGGGGAUGACGUCAAGUCAUCAUGCCCCUUAUGUCCAGGGCUUCACACAUGCUACAAUGGCCGGUACAAAGGGCUGCGAUGCCGCGAGGUUAAGCGAAUCCUUUUAAAGCCGGUCUCAGUUCGGAUCGGGGUCUGCAACUCGACCCCGUGAAGUCGGAGUCGCUAGUAAUCGCA
rnacentral:rRNA from 1 species